rnacentral:sRNA from 1 species
CUUCAUCUAGUAAACAAAGAAUUGAAACGAUUAGCGUAGGCUCUUCGGAGCCCUUUCCCCUAAGCCCAAACAGGAAAGUUUGGGCUUUUUUUU